CAUUGAUAUCUGAUAUUUUAUUCAAAUCCAAUAGUGUUGCAAACCAACGAUUUAAUCGUUAUCUAGUAUGAAAAAUUUUUGUAUAAUUUUUUUUAAUUUUUUAUUUAAAUUGUUUUUUAUUUUUAUUUUUUUGACCGCGAAAGGGGUCCUUUCUCCUUUGACUGAACCGGGCCCUAGGCUGCAGCCCAUAAAAACCGUGCCUAAAUUCGCCCCUAGCUAUUCCGCAUUCGCGCUACAUCGGUCACUGUUGAGUAGUGUUGAGCUUAAUAAUGAUGAAUUUUGAGUCAUCUGCAGAGCCGGAUUUGGGUUUUUAGAGGCCCUAGGACAAGCAAGGCUUUGGGGCCCGUAAAAAAAUAAUAAUCUCUGAAAUAACUUAGAACGAACAAAAAUUCAAAGCAGCUACGUCUAAUUUUAAAGACUCCUUAAACCUUACAAGGAACUUUAAAAUUUUAUUUUCUAUCUAGGACUUAAUAAGAAAAUAUGGGUUUUUAUUAAAAAAUUUUUUAAAAGUUGAAAACAGAUUGAUAAUUUUGAGGACCCUACAAUCGCGAGCCUAGUCGGCCUAUAGACAAAUCCGGCCCCGGUCAUCGGUUAAACUCGACGGAGCUUUAAAUAACAGCGACCAGUGAUCGCUGUUUAGUAAAAGUGAUUAGUGUAUGGUGACCGGCGACCAGUCUUCAGUCUCUGCACUCAUGGAUAAAAUCACAUAGCAAAGUA
rnacentral:lncRNA from 1 species